GCGGAAGAUACAGAGAGCUCCAUUGCAGCCACAGUGAUGGAUGGCAUCGAUAGAGAAAAUCCCACAAAAGAGCUUGACUUUUCUCAUGAAUCUGCAGUUUCUUCCGAAAAAGUGAAAUUUUAUCAAAUGUUGAGACCCAGAAAAGUUAUCUGUAGACUUCAGCCUUUGCAAAAAAAUGGAAGAAACAAUUGAGAAGCAGACACAGAAGUCAAACUUUUUCAAUAAGCUAAAUUGGAAGAAAGGGCUUAGCACACGGUGUUUCCUAAUCUUUCCUGCCAACCAUUUAUUUAAGCUCAGAUCUUGGGAAGCCCAUCUAAGGGCUUCCAAAGAGAAAAUGCUACUUAUCAAGAAUCAUGCCUUUCCUGUUGCAGAGUAGAAGUAAACAAAAUCAAGAAAUCUCCAAUGCUCACACAAUUUUAACAGGUUUGGCCAAUACAACAGAGACGUGAAAACCAACAGAUGUCCCCCACCAAUCCAGGAAUGAGUGAAUUCUUGCUCUAUCAGGACCUGUGAGACUUCCCUCAAGAGCUGGUUGUUAAAAAGAGCCUAGGACCUCUUCCCUCUCUUGCUUCCUCUCUUGCCUUGUGAUCUUCACAUCCUGACUCUCCUUCACCUUCCACUCUGAGUGGAAGUUUCCUGAGGCUCUCGCAAGAAGCAGAUAUCGGCACCAUGCUUCUUUUACAGUCUUCAUAGUCCUGAGAACAAGCAAGUGUUGGUGCAGGAUAACUUUAGAGGCUGCCAGUGUAACUAACCUUCUGCUGAUCACUCCAUUCAAGCUGCUCAAAUAGUCCUUCCAAGGUCACAGGCCAGCGACAGCAGGGAUGACUAACAAAAACCUGAAAUGCAUAGUAUGCAAGAAGGAGUGUUG
rnacentral:lncRNA from 1 species